GCCAGACUCCUACGGGAGGCAGCAGUGGGGAAUAUUGCACAAUGGGGGAAACCCUGAUGCAGCGACGCCGCGUGAGUGAAGAAGUAUUUCGGUAUGUAAAGCUCUAUCAGCAGGAACGAGACAAGACGGUACCUGACUAAGAAGCCCCGGCUAACUACGUGCCAGCAGCCGCGGUAAUACGUAGGGGGCAAGCGUUAUCCGGAAUCACUGGGUGUAAAGGGAGCGUAGACGGCUGUGCAAGCCUGAAGUGAAAGGCGGGGGCCCAACCCCUGGACUGCUUUGGGAACUGUACGGCUGGAGUGCAGGAGAGGUAAGUGGAAUUCCUAGUGUAGCGGUGAAAUGCGUAGAUAUUAGGAGGAACACCAGUGGCGAAGGCGGCUUACUGGACUGUAACUGACGUUGAGGCUCGAAAGCGUGGGGAGCAAACAGGAUUAGAUACCCGCGUAAA
rnacentral:rRNA from 1 species